GACGAACGCUGGCGGCGUGCCUAAUACAUGCAAGUAGAACGCUGAAGGAGGAGCUUGCUUCUCUGGAUGAGUUGCGAACGGGUGAGUAACGCGUAGGUAACCUGCCUGGUAGCGGGGGAUAACUAUUGGAAACGAUAGCUAAUACCGCAUAAGAGUAGAUGUUGCAUGACAUUUUCUUAAAAGGUGCAAUUGCAUCACUACCAGAUGGACCUGCGUUGUAUUAGCUAGUUGGUGAGGUAACGGCUCACCAAGGCAACGAUACAUAGCAGACCUGAGAGGGUGAUCGGCCAAACUGGGAAUGAGACACGGCACAGACUCCUACGGGAGGCAGCAGUAGGGAAUCUUCGGAAAUGGACGGAAGUCUGACCGAGAAAAGCCGCGUGAGUGAAGAAGGUUUUCGGAUCGUAAAGCUCUGUUGUAAGAGAAGAACGAGUGUGAGAGUGGAAAGUUCACACUGUGACGGUAUCUUACCAGAAAGGGACGGCUAACUACGUG
rnacentral:rRNA from 1 species